AGUGAACGCUGGCGGUAGGCCUAACACAUGCAAGUCGAACGGCAGCACAGUAAGAGCUUGCUCUUACGGGUGGCGAGUGGCGGACGGGUGAGGAAUACAUCGGAAUCUACUUUUUCGUGGGGGAUAACGUAGGGAAACUUACGCUAAUACCGCAUACGACCUACGGGUGAAAGCAUGGGAUCUUCGGACCUUGCGCGAUUGAAUGAGCCGAUGUCGGAUUAGCUAGUUGGCGGGGUAAAGGCCCACCAAGGCGACGAUCCGUAGCUGGUCUGAGAGGAUGAUCAGACACACUGGAACUGAGACACGGUCCAGACUCCUACGGGAGGCAGCAGUGGGGAAUAUUGGACAAUGGGCGCAAGCCUGAUCCAGCCAUACUGCGUGGGUGAAGAAGGCCUUCGGGUUGUAAAGCCCUUUUGUUGGGAAAGAAAAGCAGCAGGUUAAUACCCCGCUGUUCUGACGGUACCCAAAGAAUAAGCACCGGCUAACUUCG
rnacentral:rRNA from 1 species